rnacentral:rRNA from 1 species
AUUGAACGCUGGCGGCAGGCCUAACACAUGCAAGUCGAACGAGUGGCGGACGGGUGAGUAAUGCCUGGGAAUCUUGCUUAUGGAGGGGGAUAACUACGGGAAACUGUAGCUAAUACCGCGUACCAUCGGAUGAGCCCAGGUGGGAUUAGCGAGUUGGUGGGGUAAAGGCUCACCAAGCCGACGAUCCCUAGCUGGUCUGAGAGGAUGACCAGCCACACUGGAACUGAGACACGGUCCAGACUCCUACGGGAGGCAGCAGUGGGGAAUCUUCGACAAUGGGCGAAAGCCUGACCGAGCAACGCCGCGUGAGUGAAGAAGGUUUUCGGGUCGUAAAGCUCUGUUAUUAGGGAAGCGUUAUCUAACCAAAAAGCCACGGCUAACUACGUGCCAGCAGCCGCGGUAAUUC